rnacentral:lncRNA from 1 species
UGGUACAGAUGACUCAAGAAGACAGAGUGCUAUCUCCUAAGGAACAUGAGCAGGCUCAACAGCUACAACACCAGACCUAUCUGUUCAGAUAAAGCUGGUCUUAGGGAGGAGCUCUUUUGGAAUAUUCCUGUAUAAUUGAAACAAUGAGCUAUAAUUGUGCCCUUCAACACCAAAUUCUUCUUACUUCAAUGCAAUGCUGGAAGCAGUUGUAUAAUAGUUACCACAAUGAUGUGUACAAUGGACUGUCAGCCUGGGCACCAAACCAGAAGAAUCAAUUACUUACCCAAGUCUACUCACUGUGACUAUUUAUUUAUCACAUCUGCACAUCUACCUGCUCCACCCAUGAAGCUCCUAUGGCAGGAUCUGAGCCUUAAUCAUUAAACCUCAAAUAUUAACCAGUCCACUAAGUUCACCUUUCAUCAUGGAAUCUCCAGCGAUGUAAAGCUGUCAGAAAUGUCAUAAGCACUUCUGUGUCAGGCUGCGCCACCCCCCAAAGGGGCAUGUCAAUGGUGGGCUGAGGGCAUGACCCAAGGGACAAGAGUGGGUGUGGUGGAGCCAAGCUCCACUAUUGGCUAGUCACUGUUUUUUUGAAGCUUAUCCCAGCACUAGAGGAUAUGUCUUAACUGUGUUUAGUAAAGUGUCAUGUAUAAAUAUGGUGCUGAAUAAAUGUUUUAAGAUGAUCCUAUAGCUCA